rnacentral:rRNA from 1 species
AUUAAAAAGAUAGUUGAUUAACAAUUUAAUUUGAUAAAAAUAAAUUAUUACAUUUAAAUUAAAAAAAAAAUUUUUUAGUUUUAUUAUUAAAUAGAAAAAAUUAUUUUUAUAAUAGAGUAUUAGUAUUGAGAAAGAUUUUUUUAGAUAAAUUUAAAGAAAAAUUAAUUUUUUGUACCUUGUGUAUCAGGGUUUAUUAAAAUAAAUUAUUUAAUUAAUUAUUCCGAAGUUAAAAGGGCUAAAUAAAUAUAUUUAUUAUUGUAGAAUAAAUAUUAUAAAUAUAUAUUUAGUAAUGAAAUGUUAUUCGUUUUUAAAUAUAUCUGAUUAUUUAAGAAAUAAAUUUAAUUUAUUUAUUAAAAAUAAUAUAUUAAAUUAAAAAUUUAUUAUUAUUAAUAUAAAAUAUUUUUGGGGAUGAGCUUAAAAGUAGAAUUUUACUAAUUAUUUAAAAAGUUAAAAUUGUAAGAUUAAAAUUUUCUAUCAAUAGAAGGAUGUUAAAAUUAAUUUAAUUAAAAUAAUUAUUUAUAUUUAUUAUAAAUUUUUUAUUAAAAUUUUUAUUUAAAUAAAAAUAAUAAAGAAAAAAUGAUAUAAUAAGUAUAUCAUAAUUAAAUUAGUUAAUUUAAAUUAAGGUUAAAUAAAGGAAUUCGGCAAAAAUUUUUUUACCUGUUUAUUAAAAACAUGUCUUUUUGAUGAUAAUUUAAAGUCUGACCUGCCCACUGAAUUUUGAAUGGCCGUGGUAUAUUGACCGUGCUAAGGUAGCAUAAUCAUUAGUUUCUUAAUUAGAAUCUGGAAUGAAGGGUUGAAUAAGAAAAAAGCUGUCUCUAUUUAAUUAUUUUAGAAAUUUAUAUUUAAGUUAAAAAGCUUAAAUUUAUUUAAAAGACGAGAAGACCCUAUAGAGUUUAAUUAUGUGAAAAAUUAUUUAUUUAAGAAUUAAUAUAAGUAAAUAUAAAAUAAUUUAGUUGGGGUGAUUGAAAAAUUUAAUAAACUUUUUUUUAAAAAUUACAUUAAUUAAUGAAUUUAUGAUCCAAAAAUUUUGAUUAAAAGAAAAAAUUACCUUAGGGAUAACAGCGUAAUUUUUUUAGAGAGUUCAUAUUAAAAAAAAAGAUUGCGACCUCGAUGUUGGAUUAAAAUUAAAAUUUGGUGUAGAGGCUAAAUUAUUAAGUCUGUUCGACUUUUUAAAUUUUACAUGAUCUGAGUUUAAACCGGUGUAAGCCAGGUUGGUUUCUAUCUUUAAAUAGUUAAUAUAUUUUAGUACGAAAGGAUCAAAUAUUUAAAUUUUAUUUUUAAAUUUGAAUAAUAUUAAGUAUUACUUUGGCAGAUUAGUGCGAUAGAUUUAGAAUCUU